AGUGCCUUGAAUUACAGUCCAUUCCAGAAGGGACGCCUCAGCUUACAUCUUUAGAAGAAUUAUCUGUUCAGAAUUGUCAUAAUUUGAGGGCUUUGCCAGAGUGGAUACUCAAUCUCACUUCCCUUAAAACACUUCGAAUUUGGGAGUGCCUUGAAUUACAGUACAUGCCAAAAGGGACACAUCAGCUUACCUCUUUAAAAGAAUUGUUCGUAGGGAAAUGCCCUAAUCUGAGGGCUUUGCCAGAUUGGAUACUCAAUCUCACUUCCCUUAAAACACUUCGAAUUUGGGAGUGCCUUGAAUUACAGUACAUGCCAAAAGGGACACAUCAGCUUACUUCUUUAAAAGAAUUGUUAGUAGGGAAAUGCCCUAAUCUGAGGGCUUUGCCUGACUGGAUACUCAAUCUCACUUCCCUUACAAAACUUCAUAUUCAGGAGUGCCUUGAAUUACAGUACAUGCCAGAAGGGACGCAUCAGCUUACCUCUUUGAAAGAAUUGUCCAUUGAAAAUUGCCCUCAUCUUAGGGCUUUGCCUGACUGGAUACUCAAUCUCACUUCUCUUGAAACACUUCAAAUUUGGAAUUGCCUUGAAUUACAGUACAUGCCAGUAGGGAUUUCUCGGCUUACAUUCUUAGAAGAAUUAUAUGCUGACCGCCAUAAUUUGAGGGCUUUGCAAGACUGGAUACUCAAUCUCACUUCCCUCAAAGAUCUUUAUAUUUGCGAGUGCCUUGCAUCACCGUACUUGCAAGAAAGGAUGCAUAACCUCACCUCUUUACAACGAAUGAUAGUUGAAUCUUGCCCUAAUCUAAGUUCUUCUAGACAUUCUCUCAAAACACUUCUAAUUCGGGGGUGCCCUGAUAUAUACUCCUGGAGAAUGAGGCAUUCUUUGUCCUCUUUAGAAGAAUUGAAUGUUCAAAAUUGCCCUAAUCUGGGGAAAUUGUUGUAUCGCAUAUCAUUUUUAAUCACUUGCCUCAAAACACUUACGAUUUGUAAGUGCCCUGAAUUACAAAACUUGCAAAUGGUGGAUCGCCUUACCUCUUUACAAGUAUUGUCAAUCAGUGAAUGUCCAAAAUUGUCGGAAAGAUGUGAAAAGGAAACCGGAAUCUUGUGGCCUCACAUUGCUCACAUCCCAUCUAUUAUAAUUGAUGGGCAACAGAUUCAGUGAUGAUCAUACAAUAUAUAGGUAACAAUAUUUUUCUGCACCUCUAUUUAUAUUUUCUCCCUGUACCUGAUAAUUCUUUUUUUUUCUUCCUGGAUUUGGAUGAUUCGUAAUUUGUUGUAUGCAUGUAAUCCAAGUUGACUAUGCGUGUAAUUUGUUUACUCUGCUACUUCUUUCUAAGUGGACUAACAAUAUUGAUUUUUUCUUAUAUAGACAAAUUUAAAAAAAUUACAGCAGUAUGAAUCUACUGAAGUUAUCAAAUUAUUCUGAUUUUUCACUUUGUUAUAUCUAAAUGUCUAUUUUCACCUUUUUCAAUGAUGUUAAUCUGUGUUCAGAGGAUAUUGUUUAGGUUGACCAAAAGUUUGGGUUUUCUGUAAGAGGUUGUCAACAGCUUUUUGUGCAGUGUUGAUGUAAUUGUUCAGUUAUCUUAUCACUAAAGUUAGAAUGCCAAAAGGAGUCUUUAACAUAAGCAUAAAAGGGAGUUGUGGACAGAUUAUUGUCAGUUGUUUCACUUCCCCUGUUUUUAUUCAUUGAUCAAUGCAAAAUUAUCUUUUAUACAAUGAGGCAGCCUUGGAUGUUUGUGUCAUAUCUUUUUAGAAGCAAAACCAAAAUUUAAUGUGAAACACUGGUGAAAUAAGCUGAGAUUUUAUAGGCACUUGCUUUUGUAAGGAAUAUGUUAACAUUAUUUCUUUAUUUUUUACUACGUGUUUAUAAUGGGAUGAUGACAUUUUUUCCAUUGUUUGAAGCAGGAAGAUUUCAUCUUGCCAAUUUCCUUCCAAAGCAGACUGUUGUUGAAUUGAAACCAAGAGAAAUUUCUAUUGGUAAACUUUACCACUUAUUUGGUUUGUUUUACCAAUUUCAUUUACUUUCUAUAAGGAAUCCAUUAACACCCAACUUCUUACUUCUUUCUGCGUGUCUUUAUUGGGAUUAUGGACUUUUUCUGAUAGAUUGAGAGAGUACGAAUUGAUUUCAACUUGCCAAUGCCAUUGUGAAGAAGAGUACUACAAUCCAUGGAUUGGAAGCUUUACUCUCAACAGCGCCAUCACUAUCUAUGUUACAGUUUGAUGGCAAUUCUAUGUGAGAGUUAAAUUUUACUUUUGAGUGUUUGAAUUCAAUAAAGGCUAGCUCGUGAAAAUAAUUUAACAACUUGACCUCUGGUGGCUUUGUAGAUGACAGAAAUUGCACAGCAUGCAACUCUUUCACCUUUUCUUCCCAAGAAGUAAGUGAUCUUGAAUUUAAGGUAAAUUAGCUUAUCACUUAAUGCUCUAUAGAAUUUACUGUGCAUAGAAUGUUGAAUAUUUUUUCAUUGCUAUAACGUUAUAAAAUUUUCAUUUUCUAUAGAAAAAUAAGAGGUAUCAUGACUAGCUCACCAACUCCCUUUCGAGGCAUUCUUGAAAUGCAGGUAUAUUCCCAAAGCAUAUCUAUUGCAGAAGUGAUGACUCCAUAUUAUAGUUUCUUUAGUUUUUGUUCUUGAUCUUUUGCAUAUCUUUAGUUUUUUAGACUAGUUAUUUGUGAAUGAAGGCAAACAACACUUGCUAAGUAGCGGCUCGAGUGAUUGGGAGAAUAGUAUGGAGUUGAGCUGUUUGGAAAACCCCUUUGCUUCUUUCAAAAUCAAUGUCAAUAGUUCCAUAUUGGCCGUUCUUUGAGGUCUUUGAACAGUGGCUUCAAUUCUAGUCUGUAGGCCUUUACUUAAUUAACCCAAACUGUUAAGGGGACCUAAAUACAAAUGUUCUUUCCAAUGUAUAUGGAGAAGACUUUUGGGAUACUGUUCUGGGAUUUACUAUUUGCUACAUUUGGGUGCUGCAAAGUGUCAAAGAAUUGUCAAUCAAAGAAUGUCCCCAAUUGUUGAAAAAAUGUAAAAAAGAGACUGAAAUCUAGUGGCCUCACAUUGCUCUCAUCCUGUCUAUUUAUAUUGAUGGCCAACAGAUUCAAUGAUGAUCAUACAGUACAGGUAACCAUAUUUUUCUUCUCCUCUGUUUAUAUUUUCUCUCUUUAUCUUUUAUUUCCUUCUUUUUUUCUUCCUGGAUUUGAAUGAUUUGUACUUUGUUCUAUACAUGUAAUCCAAGUUGGUAUACCGAUUGCCUAUACUUUGUACAGAUAGCAUACUUAUUGUGAAAGCAUUAAAUUUCAUACUCUUGUACGGAUAAAUUUAAAAAAACAGUAUUAUAAACGUACUUAAGUUACUUAAUUAUUCUGAUUUUUAGUUGUUAUAUCAAUUCCCAACUUCUUCUGUUUAACAUAAACAUAAAAUGGAGUUAUGGACAGAUUAUUGUCAGUUGUUUCACUUUCCCUGUUUUGUGCAUUGAUCAAUGCAAAAUCAUCUCUUAUACAAUGAGGCAACGUUGGAUGUUUGUGUCGUAUCUUUUCAGAAGCAAAACCAAAAUUAAAUAGAAAAGGAUCGCAGGACAGAUAGCUUCUAUCAUAGAGAUUCUAAAUAAUUGAAUAACUGAUGAAAUAAGCUGAGAUGUGAGAGUGAGUAUUCCUGAAAAUUUCAACUAAAAGUUUGUUAGAAUAUCCAGUCAAGACUCCGGAGCUGAAAGCUAGUAAUAAUAGAAACAAAUGUGAAAGUCUGCUUGUACAUUUCCUGCCAUAUUUGUUGUGAUGAGGAGAUAUUGCUAUAGGUAAUAUUUUCGCCUCUUCUUCUUGAUGUUGGCACUUGCUUUUGUAAAGAAUAUAUUAACAUCAGUUCUUUCUUUUUGUAUGUGUUAAUAAUGGGAUGAUGACAUGUUUUCAUUGUUUGAAGUAGGACGAUUUUAUCUUGCUAAUUUCCUUCCAGAGCAAACAGUUGUUGAAAUUUCUAUUGGUAAACUUUACCACUUAUUCGGUUUGUCUUACCAAUUUUAUAUGCUUUCUAUAAGGAAUCUAUUAACACCUAACUUCAUACUUCUUUUUGCAUGUCUUUAUUAGGAUUAUAGACUUUUUCUGAUAGUUUGAGAGAGAACAUGCGGAUUUCAACAUGCCGAUGCCAUUGUGAAGUAGAGUACUAGAAUCGGUAGAUCGAAGGCUUUACUCUCAACAGUGUUAUCACUAUCUAUGUUACAGUUUGAUGGCAAGUCUAUGUGAGAGUUAAAUUUUGCUUUGGGUGUUCAAAUUCAAUAAAGACUAACUGAUGAAAAUAAUUGAAUAGCUUGACGUCUGGUUUCCUUUUAGGUAAAAAAGACUGCACAACAUGCAACUCUUUCACCUUCUUUUCUCAAGAAGUGAGCCUUGGUCUAAUGAUCUUGAAUUCAAGGUUAAUUGGCUUUUCAUUUAUUGCUAUGUUAUAUAUGAGGAAUGUGCUUUGUAUAGAAUCCUCAAUAUUUUUGCAUUGCUCUAACAUUUAAGAUUUUUGUUUUCUAUAGAAAAGAAAGAGAUGCCAAUGACUUGCCUGCCAACUCCCUUCCGGCCAUUUUUGAAAUACAGGUAUUCUCAAAGCAUUUUUUAUGAGGAAUGACUUGCUUUUGUAAAGAAUAUAUUAACAUCGGUUCUUUCUUGUUUGUACGUUAAUGGGAUGAUGACAUUUUUCAUUAUUUGAAGCAGGAUGAUUAUAUCAUGCUAAUUUCCUUCCAGAGCAGACUGUUGUUAAAUUGAAACCAAGAGAAAUUUCUAUUGGUAAAAUUUACCACUUAUUUGGUUUGUUUUAUCAAUUUUAUUUACUUUCUAUAAGGUAUCCAUUAACACCCAACUUCUUACUUCUUUCUGCAUGUCUUUAUUGGGAUUAUGGACUUUUUCUGAUAGAUUGAGAGAGUAAAUAUUGAUUUCAACUUACAAAUGCCAUUGUGAAGAAGAGUGCUACAAUCCAUGGAUUGGAAGCUUUACUCUCAACAGCGUCAUCACUAUCUAUGUUACAGUUUGAUGGAAAUUCUAUGUGAGAGUUAAAUCUACAUUGAGUAUUUGAAUUCAAUAAAGGAUAACUCAUGAAAAUAAUUUAACAGCUUAACCUCUGGUGUCCUUUUAGAUUACAACGAUUGCACAGCAUGCAACUCUUUCACCUUUUCUUCCCAAGAAGUGAGCCUUGGUCUAACGAGCUUGAAUUUAAGGUAAAUUAACUUAUCACUUAUUGCUCUAUAUAAUUUACUGUGCAUAGAAUGUUGAAUAUUUUUUCGCUGCUAUAACGUUAUAAGAUUUUCAUUUUCCAUAGAAAAAUAAGAGGUGUCAUGACUUGGUCACCAACUCCCUUUUAAGGCAUUCUUGAAAUGCAGGUAUAUUCUUGAAGCAUAUCUAUUGCAAAAGUGAUGACUAUAUAUUAUAGUUUCUUUAGUUUUUGUUCUUGAUUUUUUGCAUAUCUUGUUCCUUAAUGCUUGCUUAUAACAAUGGAUUUUUGGACUAGUUAUCUGUGAAUGAUGGCAAACAACACUUGCUAAGUAGUGGCUUGAGUGAUUGGGAGAAUAGUCUGGAGCCGAUCUGGUUGGAAACCCCCUUUGCUUCUUUCAAAAUCAAUGUCAAUAGUUCCAUAUUGGCCAUUCUUGGAGGUCUUUAAACAGUGGCUUCAAUUCUAGUCUGUGGGCCUCUACUCAAUUAACCCAAACUAUUAAGGGGACCUAAAUAGAAAUGUUCUUUCCAAUGUAUAUAGAGAAGACUUUUGCGAUACUGUUCUGGGAUUUACUAUUUGCUACAUUUGGGUGCUGUUAAGUGUCAAAGAAUUCUCAAUCAAAGAACGUUCCCAAUUGCAGGAAAGAUGUAAAAAGAAGACCAGAAUCCAGUGGCCUCAUAUUGCUCUCAUCCUGACUAUUUAUAUUGAUGGCCAACAGAUUCAAUGAUGAUCACACAAUGCAGGUAACCAUAUUUUUCUUUACCUCUGUUUAUAUUUUCUCCCUUUAUUUGAUAAUUCCUUUUUUUUUUCUUCUUGGAUUUGAAUGAUUCGUUCUUUGUUCAAUACAUGGAAUCCAAGUUGGUAUACUGAUUCGCCUACACUGUGUACAGAUAGCAUACUUAUUGUGAAAGCAUUAAUUUCCUUCCAGAGCAGACAGUUGUUGAAUUGAAACCAAGAGAAAUUUUUAAAUAUAUUUAUCUGAAAUAUGUUUAAUGUUUGUUUAACAUUAAAUUGAAAUUUAAUGUUGAAUUGAAAUUUCUAAAUAAAUUUAACAGCAUUAAUUUGACUUUGGAAGAUGCUAGUAUAAGGCCUUUGCAACAAACAUUGAAGAUGACGAUGACCGAGGCUAACAAGACAUCAGAAGAAGCAUCAUCAUCAUCAAGGAGCACAUGUCAUUCAUAUUCUUCGGCUACCCUUCCUCUCUCCAUUUUGAAGCGUCUGAGACUUAAAGGCAUUAAGGAUUUAGAAGAUCUGCUAGAAGAGUUCCUACUGCCGUAUUGCCCUAAAUUGGAAUUGUUACUGCCGCAAAAGAUGAGUUGCCUCACCUUUUUACAACAAUUAUGGGUUGAAAAUUGCCCUAAUUUGAGGGCUUUGCCCGACUGGAUACUCAAUCUCACUUCCCUUAGCAGUCUUCGAAUUAAGGAGUGCCUUGAAUUACAGUCCAUUUCGGAAGGGACGCCUCAGCUUACAUCUUUAGAAGAAUUAUCUGUUCAGAAUUGUCAUAAUUUGAGGGCUUUGCCAGAGUGGAUACUCAAUCUCACUUCCCUUAAAACACUUCAAAUUUGGGGGUGCGUUGAAUUACAGCACAUGCCAAAAGGGACGCAUCAGCUUACCUCUUUAAAAGAAUUGUGGGUAGGGAAAUGCCUUAAUCUGAGGGCUUUGCCAAGCUGGAUACUUAAUCUCACUUCCCUUAAAACACUUGGAAUUUAGGAGUGCCUUGAAUUACAGUACAUGCCAGAAGGGACGCAUCAGCUUACCUCUUUAAAAGAAUUGUCCGUAGGCAAUUGCCCUAAUUUGAGGGCUUUGCCGGAUUGGAUACUCAAUCUCACUUCCCUUACAAACCUUCUAAUUAAGGGGUGCUUUGAAUUACAGUCCACGCCAAAAGGGACGCAUCAGCUUACCUCUUUAAAAGAAUUGUCCAUUGAAAAUUGCCCUCAUCUUAGGGCUUUGCCUGACUGGAUACUCAAUCUCACUUCUCUUGAAACACUUCAAAUUUGGAAUUGCCUUGAAUUACAGUACAUGCCAGAAGGGACGCAUUGGCUUGCAUCUUUAGAAGAAUUAAUUGUUUACUGCCAUAAUUUGAGGGCUUUUCCAGACUGGAUACUUGAAUCUCACUUCCCCAAAGAUCUUUAUAUUUGCGAGUGCCUUGAAUCACCGUACUUGCAAGAAAGGAUGCAUAACCUCACCUCUUUACAACGAAUGAUAGUGGAAUCUUGCCCUAAUCUGAGUUCUUCUAGACAUUCUCUCAAAACACUUCUAAGUCGGGGGUGCCCUGAUUUAUACUCCUGGAGAAUGACGCAUUCUUGGUCCUCUUUAGAAGAAUUGAAUGUUCAAAAUUGCCCUAAUCUAAGGAAAUUGUUGGAUCGCAUACCAUUUUUAAUCCCUUGCCUCAAAACACUUAAGAUUUGUAAGUGCCCUGAAUUACAAGAAUUGCAAAGGAUGGAUCGCCUUAC
rnacentral:lncRNA from 1 species